rnacentral:siRNA from 1 species
AUGGAUGACCUUAUUUUGCCGUA